rnacentral:lncRNA from 1 species
GGAUGUGCCGGCCUCGUGGCUUGUCCGAUUUGCACGGUGACUUGAUUACAUGCUCUCAUUCAUGGUCACUUCCGAAGCGCUUUAGUGCCUUCCGUCCCCAAACCGCCUACAGUCAAAGCUGCUUCCCUCCGCGGUUAGUCGAUAAUCCCCGCGGUCCGGAAGAGCCUUCGCCUUACCCGGGUUCUAC